rnacentral:rRNA from 1 species
AUUGAACGCUGGCGGAAUGCUUUACACAUGCAAGUCGAACGGCAGCACGGACUUCGGUCUGGUGGCGAGUGGCGAACGGGUGAGUAAUGUAUCGGAACGUGCCCAGUCGUGGGGGAUAACGUAGUGAAAAUUACGCUAAUACCGCAUACGAUCUAUGGAUGAAAGCGGGGGAUCGCAAGACCUCGCGCGAUUGGAGCGGCCGAUAUCAGAUUAGGUAGUUGGUGGGGUAAAGGCCCACCAAGCCAACGAUCUGUAGCUGUUCUGAGAGGACGACCAGCAGCACUGGAACUGAGACACAGUCCAGACUCCUACGGGAGGCAGCAGUGGGGAAUUUUGGACAAUGGGCGAAAGCCUGAUCCAGCCAUUCCGCGUGCAGGAUGAAGGCCCUCGGGUUGUAAACUGCUUUUGUACAGAACGAAAAGGUUUCUACUAAUACUAGGAGCUCAUGACGGUACUGUAAGAAUAAGCACCGGCUAACUACGUGCCAGCCGCCGCCGUAA